rnacentral:rRNA from 1 species
AUUGAACGCUGGCGGCAUGCCUUACACAUGCAAGUCGAACGGCAGCACGGGAGCUUGCUCCUGGUGGCGAGUGGCGAACGGGUGAGUAAUACAUCGGAACGUACCCAGGAGUGGGGGAUAACGUAGCGAAAGUUACGCUAAUACCGCAUAUUCUGUGAGCAGGAAAGCGGGGGAUCGCAAGACCUCGCGCUCUUGGAGCGGCCGAUGUGGGAUUAGCUAGUUGGGGAGUUAAAAGCUCACCAAGGCGACGAUCCGUAGCAGGUCUGAGAGGAUGAUCUGGCACACUGGGACUGAGACAAGGCCCAGACUCCUACGGGAGGCAGCAGUGGGGAAUUAUGGGCAAUGGGGGCAACCCUGAUCCAGCCAUGACGCGUGAGUGAAGAAGGCCUUCGGGUUGUAAAGCUCUUUCGGCGGGGAAGAGAUGGCAACGGCUAAUAUCCGUUGUUGAUGACGGUACCCGCAUAAGAAGCACCGGCUAACUACGUGCCAGCCGCCGCCGUAAAAC